rnacentral:sRNA from 1 species
CCAUGACCGAGCCUUUGAAGAGCUCUUUGGAAUCUGCAUCCAGCUGUUGAACAAGACCUGGAAGGAGAUGAGGGCAACAGCAGAGGACUUCAACAAGGUUAUGCAAGUCGUCCGAGAGCAAAUCACUCGAGCUUUGCCCUCCAAACCCAACUCUUUGGAUCAGUUCAAGAGCAAAUUGCGUAGCCUGAGUUACUCUGAGAUUCUACGACUGCGCCAGUCUGAGAGGAUGAGUCAGGAUGACUUCCAGUCCCCGCCAAUUGUGGAGCUGAGGGAGAAGAUCCAGCCCGAGAUCCUUGAGCUGAUCAAGCAGCAGCGCCUGAACCGGCUCUGUGAGGGCAGCAGCUUCCGAAAGAUUGGGAACCGCCGAAGGCAAGAACGGUUCUGGUACUGCCGGUUGGCACUGAACCACAAGGUCCUUCACUAUGGUGACUUGGAUGACAACCCACAAGGGGAGGUGACAUUUGAAUCCCUGCAGGAGAAAAACAUUAAGGCCAUUGUCACUGGGAAAGAUUGUCCCCACAUGAAAGAGAAAAGUGCUCUGAAACAGAACAAG